UACGAAGGGGGCUAGCGUUGUUCGGAAUUACUGGGCGUAAAGGGUGCGCAGGCGGCCCUCCAAGUCAGGCGUGAAAGCCCCGGGCUCAACCCGGGAAUAGCGCUUGAGACUGGGGGGCUUGAGUUCGGGAGAGGAGAGUGGAAUUCCCAGUGUAGAGGUGAAAUUCGUAGAUAUUGGGAAGAACACCGGUGGCGAAGGCGGCUCUCUGGACCGACACUGACGCUGAGGCGCGAAAGCGUGGGGAGCAAACAGG
rnacentral:rRNA from 1 species